AAAUUAUAUAAUAAUUUCUAUUAAAGCUAUUCAUCCAAUCAAUAUAUGUUCAAAUUUUGAAAACAAACUACAAAGAGACAAACAAAUAUAGACAGACAGAUAAAAAAUAAAGACAGAAAAGAUGAGGAGAUACUGUUCAUGAUAAAAUCGAAAAACGAAAAUCCAGUAAACAAAAAAUUUGUCGCCCGUCAAACUGAGAAUAAGAUCAAAUAAAUCACAUAUGAUGCCAAAUGACUUUUUACUCUAAGAUUAAUUGUCAAACUAAUCUUAACAGUUUGGUCUUAUACUGUACUGAUAUCCAACUGUCCUAUGUUAUAGGGGAGGGAUAAUAAUACACAAACAAAUUUAAUCCCCGUCACAUUCAUAUAAAGUAUCAUAUCAAGUCAAUGCAUUGUAAUUCAGUGAUGUGGUCGGAUGAUAUCUGUAGUAUUUGUUUUUCGUGAAUUCUUUGUUAUAAAUCAGGUCGUUGAUAUUUGUUUUUUUUUCAAUUGUGUCUCAUUUUUUCAUAUCGAAGCUAUUUAUAAUUUUUUCAUAUCGAAACUAUUUAUAAUUUUUUCAUAUCGAAACUAUUUAUAAUUUACUAUACGAUAAACGGAUUUUGCUCGUUGUUGGCGGGAUGCAACUUAUAAUUGCUUUAAUCCACCUCAUUUGAACUCAAUUAGAUAGUUGUCUCAUUACCUUGACAAUCAUACCACAUUCCCU
rnacentral:lncRNA from 1 species